rnacentral:rRNA from 1 species
GAUGAACGCUGACAGAAUGCUUAACACAUGCAAGUCAACUUGAACUUCGGUUUGGGUGGCGGACGGGUGAGUAACGCGUAAAGAACUUGCCUCACAGUUAGGGACAACAUUUGGAAACGAAUGCUAAUACCUGAUAUUAUGAUUUUAGGGCAUCCUAGAAUUAUGAAAGCUAUAUGCGCUGUGAGAGAGCUUUGCGUCCCAUUAGCUAGUUGGAGAGGUAACGGCUCACCAAGGCGAUGAUGGGUAGCCGGCCUGAGAGGGUGAACGGCCACAAGGGGACUGAGACACGGCCCUUACUCCUACGGGAGGCAGCAGUGGGGAAUAUUGGACAAGGGACCAAGAGUCUGAUCCAGCAAUUCUGUGUGCACGAUGAAGUUUUUCGGAAUGUAAAGUGCUUUCAGUUGGGAAGAAAAAAAUGACGAUACCAACAGAAGAAGUGACGGCUAAAUACGUG